GAUGAACGCUGGCGGCGUGCCUAAUACAUGCAAGUCGAGCGAACAGACGAGGAGCUUGCUCCUCUGACGUUAGCGGCGGACGGGUGAGUAACACGUGGAUAACCUACCUAUAAGACUGGGAUAACUUCGGGAAACCGGAGCUAAUACCGGAUGAUAUAUUGAACCGCAUGGUUCAAUAGUGAAAGACGGUUUUGCUGUCUCUUCUAGAUGGAUCCGCGCCGCAUUAGCUAGUUGGUAAGGUAACGGCUUACCAAGGCAACGAUGCGUAGCCGACCUGAGAGGGUGAUCGGCCACACUGGAACUGAGACACGGUCCAGACUCCUACGGGAGGCAGCAGUAGGGAAACUUCCGCAGUGGGCGAAAGCCUGACGGAGCGACGCCGCGUGAGUGAUGAAGGUCUUCGGAUCGUAAAACUCUGUUAUUAGGGAAGAACAAAUGUGUAAGUAACUGUGCACGUCUUGACGGUACCUAAUCAGAAAGCCACGGCUAACUACGUG
rnacentral:rRNA from 1 species